rnacentral:rRNA from 1 species
CCUACGGGUGGCAGCAGUGGGGAAUAUUGCGCAAUGGGCGAAAGCCUGACGCAGCGACGCCGCGUGAGGGAUGAAGGUCUUCGGAUCGUAAACCUCUGUCAGCAGGGAAGAACGGUCACUGUGCUAAUCAGCAGUGAAUUGACGGUACCUGCAAAGGAAGCACCGGCUAACUCCGUGCCAGCAGCCGCGGUAAUACGGAGGGUGCGAGCGUUAAUCGGAAUUACUGGGCGUAAAGGGCUCGUAGGCGGUAUGUCAAGUCAAGGGUGAAAUCCCCGGGCUCAACGUGGGAACUGCCUUUGAAACUGGCAGACUGGAGUGUGUGAGAGGAUGGUGGAAUUCCAGGUGUAGGAGUGAAAUGCGUAGAUAUCUGGAAGAACAUCGGUGGCGAAGGCAGCUAUCUGGCACAUAACUGACGCUGAGGAGCGAAAGCGUGGGUAGCAAACAGGAUUAGAUACCCUUGUAGUC